AGCGAAAUGUGAUAAGUGGUGUGAAUUGCAGAAUCCCGUGAACCAUCGAGUCUUUGAACGCAAGUUGCGCCUGAGGCCAUCAGGCUAAGGGCACGCCUGCCUGGGCGUCGUGUGUUUUAUAUCUCCCUCCAAUGCUUGCCCAGCAUAUAUCUAGGGUAUCAUUGUGU
rnacentral:rRNA from 2 species